CAGUAGCCGACCUGAGAGGGUGAUCGGCCACAUUGGAACUGAGACACGGUCCAAACUCCUACGGGAGGCAGCAGUGGGGAAUAUUGCACAAUGGGCGAAAGCCUGAUGCAGCAACGCCGCGUGAGUGAUGAAGGCCUUCGGGUCGUAAAACUCUGUCCUCAAGGAAGAUAAUGACGGUACUUGAGGAGGAAGCCCCGGCUAACUACGUGCCAGCAGCCGCGGUAAUACGUAGGGGGCUAGCGUUAUCCGGAUUUACUGGGCGUAAAGGGUGCGUAGGCGGUCUUUCAAGUCAGGAGUGAAAGGCUACGGCUCAACCGUAGUAAGCUCUUGAAACUGGGAGACUUGAGUGCAGGAGAGGAGAGUGGAAUUCCUAGUGUAGCGGUGAAAUGCGUAGAUAUUAGGAGGAACACCAGUUGCGAAGGCGGCUCUCUGGACUGUAACGGACGCUGAGGCACGAAAGCGUGGGGAGCAAACAGGAUUAGAUACCCUGGUAGUCCACGCUGUAAACGAUGAGUACUAGGUGUCGGGGGUUACCCCC
rnacentral:rRNA from 1 species